AAGGCUUGAAACAUACUAGCAAUAGACGGAUCCAUGUGCAUACCUUGUCCUUUAGAAGAACCCCUGCCAGAAUCUCCUCUCAAAGAUCCUUCAAAAUUUUUAUUUUCUUUCUCCAUGAAAAUAAAAAUAAAAUCAAACAAAAUCCAAUACCUUCCACCUCAAGCUUUCACGUCAGGUUCAUCACUUAUGUCGUAUUACAUGCUUUCCUGCUCGAGAAU
rnacentral:lncRNA from 1 species